rnacentral:rRNA from 1 species
AAGGAUCAUUACUGUGAAUAUAACUUCCACACAUGCGUGAGCGCACAAAACACAUAAACCGUGAGUAAUUUUAGUCGAAAACAAAACAAAAAAUAGAAAACUUUCAACAACGGAUCUCUUGGUUCUCGCAUCGAUGAAGAGCGCAGCGAAAUGCGAUACCUAGUGUGAAUUGCAGCCAUCGUGAAUCAUCGAGUUCUUGAACGCACAUUGCGCCCGUCGGUAUUCCGGCGGGCAUGCCUGUCUGAGCGUCGUUUCCUUCUUGGAACUUUUGUUAAAGAAAGAUCCAGAGCUGGCCGUGCCACUGGCCCGGCCGAAAAGAAACGUUGCGGACGAAGCGAACUACAUCGGGACGCUUUGGCCGCCGAGCGAAAAUAUAUCAUUGAGCUCGACCUCAGAUCAGGUAGGAGUACCCGCUGAACUUAA